rnacentral:rRNA from 1 species
UUCACCCUUGUCUUUUGCGUACUUCUUGUUUCCUUGGUGGGUUCGCCCACCACUAGGACAAACAUAAACCUUUUGUAAUUGCAAUCAGCGUCAGUAACAAAUUAAUAAUUACAACUUUCAACAACGGAUCUCUUGGUUCUGGCAUCGAUGAAGAACGCAGCGAAAUGCGAUAAGUAGUGUGAAUUGCAGAAUUCAGUGAAUCAUCGAAUCUUUGAACGCACAUUGCGCCCUUUGGUAUUCCAAAGGGCAUGCCUGUUCGAGCGUCAUUUGUACCCUCAAGCUUUGCUUGGUGUUGGGCGUCUUGUCUCUAGCUUUGCUGGAGACUCGCCUUAAAGUAAUUGGCAGCCGGCCUACUGGUUUCGGAGCGCAGCACAAGUCGCACUCUCUAUCAGCAAAGGUCUAGCAUCCAUUAAGCCUUUUUUCAACUUUUGACCUCGGAUCAGGUAGGGAUACCCGCUGAACUUAAGCAUAUCAAU